rnacentral:rRNA from 1 species
CCUACGGGUUGCACCAGUGGGGAAUAUUGCACAAUGGGCGCAAGCCUGAUGCAGCCAUGCCGCGUGUAUGAAGAAGGCCUUAGGGUUGUAAAGUACUUUCAGUUGGGAGGAAGGCGUUGAUGCUAAUAUCAUCAACGAUUGACGUCACCAACAGAAGAAGCACCGGCUAACUCCGUCCCAGCAGCCGCGGUAAUACGGAGGGUGCAAGCGUUAAUCGGAAUUACUGGGCGUAAAGCGCACGCAGGCGGUUGAUUAAGUUAGAUGUGAAAUCCCCGGGCUUAACCUGGGAAUGGCAUCUAAGACUGGUCAGCUAGAGUCUUGUAGAGGGGGGUAGAAUUCCAUGUGUAGCGGUGAAAUGCGUAGAGAUGUGGAGGAAUACCGGUGGCGAAGGCGGCCCCCUGGACAAAGGCUGACGCUCAGGUGCGAAAGCGUGGGGAGCAAACAGGAUUAGAUACCCCGGUAGUC